rnacentral:rRNA from 1 species
AGGUACACCUGUUUGAGUGUCAUGA